rnacentral:tRNA from 2 species
GGGCUUGUAGCUCAGGUGGUUAGAGCGCUACACUGAUAAUGUAGAGGUCCCUGGUUCGAGUCCAGGCAGGCCCAC